UUGGGGAAGUCAUACCUUGUCUCUUUGAUUUCCACUUUAUGAUUAGUGCCAUGGGACAUGUGGCAAAAAAAGGAAGCGAUGUCCAAUUGAUCUCCUCCCACGCAAAGGAUAUUUGUUCCUAAUUGAGCAUCGCUUUUGUUUGGAGUUAUGAAGAGAAAUGCUUGCUCUAAUGCACAUAAAUGGUGGUUAAUUGAAUUUUUUUUUAUUUUUGAGUGAAAUAUAGAUGUUGUAACUAUUGGAUGUAUGUUCUAAAAGUCAG
rnacentral:lncRNA from 1 species